rnacentral:misc_RNA from 1 species
GAGACAAGCAUAUGACUACUGGCAGGAUCAACCAGGUAGCAUUCCUUCGCGACGCCGACGCCCGCACGAGCGCCUCGAGCCGCAAGGCCGAGGGCUCGAAGACGGGCGUGGCGGUCGUUCGUGUCGUUGGACAAAAUGCGUUGCUUGGGCAAAAGGAGGCCGAGAGACCACCCGCCCGCGCAUAACAUUCUGCAUCCGAGAGCACGGGCAAAGCACCUCGUGGGCCAAGGCAACCACGCAACNGGGCGAGGCGUGCCAGGAACACGAGGCUUGCCUAACGUCCGCCCCAACACCCGCGAGGGCAUGGGGCGGAGAGGAACAAACGAACCGCCGAAUUCCUUCGGGUAGGUAAGCAACACAGNGGAUACCGAA